rnacentral:rRNA from 1 species
GGGUCAGCAGGUUGGUCGUGCCUUCGGUAUGCACUGGCCUUGCUGAUUCCUCCCUCUUGAUGAGCCGUAAUGUCAUUAAUUUGGUGUUGCGGGGAAUCAGGACUGUUACUUUGAAAAAAUUAGAGUGUUUAAAGCAAGUGAAUAACAGCCUGAAUACAUUAGCAUGGAAUAAUAGAAUAG